AUCGGGGCGCCAAGAAAAAGAGGAAUUAGGCCAUCACCAAUGUAGCCUGUAUUAAGACACAAACAAAAACUUCACGUAUCGAUCGGUACUUGGUAAGCAGAAAAAUGCUCCUUGAAAGCCAAAUCGGAGAUCGACCAGACACCGAAAACCCCCAAAACCCCAACAAAAAGUCUUAAGCCCUUCUCACUUCUGCGUCCUCCGCUCAAUUACUCUCCAAAUCCCACCAACCAUCAAUGUCCGACCCAAGCUCCACCGCAGGCAACGGCAACUCCAACGGCAACUCCAACGACAACUCCGUCACCAAGACUGCCGGCUUAGUGGUGUUCUCCGGCAUCGCUAUGAGCAUUCUCAAAGCUCUAAACCCUUUUUAACAAAAACAGAAAUGAGCAAACUCCUCCACUCGCCGAGUCAACUCAACCCAUUCAGCUUCCGUCCCAGCUUCCUCUCCCUCCCCAGCAGCAACCCAUCACUGUCAAGGAACCACACCCUCCUCUUCGGAAAACCAUUACCAGGAUGGACCAAAAUGUGGAAGUCACGCGGAAGUCAUGGCAUAAAACGAUAGAGAUCGAGAAGGGAGACACUCUUUGGGGGCUCUCUAGAGAACAUGGGGUAAACCUUUUCAACUCUUUCAACUGUUAUGGUAUUACACGUGAUGUGGUGUUCUUAAGUUUAUACUUUUCUUUGAGAAUUUGCAUCCAUACGGUAAUUCUUGUGGUGUCGAAUUGCGCAUCUGGUAUUGAGAAGAAAAGAUCGGGCUUGCUUAGUUUACGAUUUUAAACCAUACGGUUUGUGAGAAAUAUGUUGGAUAGAUGUUGAAAACGCCUUUGACUUGCGCCGCCUUGUGAACUUGUGUUUUAAACCCCCAAAUAAAAGUAGCUGCCAAAUUUUAGACGGA